rnacentral:rRNA from 1 species
AGAGUUUGAUCCUGGCUCAGAAUGAACGCUGGCGGCAUGGAUUAGGCAUGCAGGUCGAACGUGAGACCCGAGCUUGCUUGGGUUGAAAGUGGCGCAAGGGUGAGUAACACGUGAGCAACCUGCCCCUGACUUCGGGAUAGCCCCGGGAAACUGGGAUUAAUACCGAAUGUGGUUGCGGGAUCUUAUGGUCCUGUUAUCAAAGAUUGAUUUCGGUCGGGGAUGGGCUCGCGUCCCAUUAGCUUGUUGGUGAGGUAACGGCUCACCAAGGCUGAGACGGGUAGGUGGUCUGAGAGGAUGGUCACCCACACUGGGACUGAGACACUGCCCAGACUCCUACGGGAGGCUGCAGUCGAAAUCUUCCGCAAUGGGCGCAAGCCUGACGGAGCAAUGCCGCGUGAGGGAUGAAGGCCUUCGGGUUGUAAACCUCUGUCACCCGGGACGAAUCAAUGACGGUACCGGGAGAGGAAGCCACGGCUAACUACGUGCCAGCAGCCGCGUAAUACGUAGGUGGCGAGCGUUAUUCGGAUUUACUGGGCUAAAGGGUCCGUAGGGGGUUUGCCAAGUCUGGUGUGAAAUCCCGUGGCUCAACCACGGACGUGCACUGGAAACUGGCGGACUAGAGUGCGUGAUGGGAAAGCGGAAUUCCUGGUGUGGCGGUGGAAUGCGUAGAUAUCAGGAAGAACACCGGCGGCGAAGGCGGCUUUCUGGCACGCAACUGACCCUGAUGGACGAAAGCGUGGGUAGCAAACAGGAUUAGAUACCCUGGUAGUCCACGCUGUAAACGUUGUGCACUAGAUGUGGGAAGUACUUUGGUCCUUUCCGUGUCCAAGCUAACGCGUUAAGUGCACCGCCUGGGGACUACGGCCGCAAGGCUAAAACUCAAAGGAAUUGACGGGGGCCCGCACAAGCGGUGGAGCAUGUGGCUUAAUUCGAGGCAACGCGAAGAACCUUACCUGGGUUUGACAUGUAUCGGACCGUCCUGGAAACAGGAUUUUCUCUUCGGAGACUGAUACACAGGUGCUGCAUGGCUGUCGUCAGCUCGUGCCGUGAGGUGUUCGGUUAAGUCCGGCAACGAGCGCAACCCGUGUCGUCAGUUGCCAGCAGGUUAUGCUGGGGACUCUGGCGAGACUGCCCGUGUCAAGCGGGAGGAAGGCGCGGAUGACGUCAAGUCCGUAUGGCCCUUACGUCCAGGGCUGCACACGUGCUACAAUGGGCGGUACAGAGAGAGCGAGACCGUGAGGUGGAGCCAAUCUUCAAAACCGUCCCCAGUUCGGAUUGGAGUCUGCAACUCGACUCCAUGAAGCCGGAAUCGCUAGUAAAGGCGUAUCAGCAACGACGCCUUGAAUACGUUCCCGGGCCUUGUACACACCGCCCGUCACAUCAUGGAAGCCGGCUGCACCCGAAGUCACUGGCCCAACCCGCAAGGGGGGGAGGUGCCGAAGGUGUGUCCGGUAACUGGGAUGAAGUCGUAACAAGGUA